rnacentral:lncRNA from 1 species
UAAUUUUAUUUUGAUUUAAUUAUUAAAUCGUCAUUUUUUAAAAAAUAAACGAUUUUCAGGAAAAACGAAAAAAUAGGGGAAAAAUCCUGCGAAAAAAUCCCGUAGGAAAGGGCUGCCCAUGCAGGCGCACAGUGCGCACGUUUCAUCCGCGUGUGGCGCAGAGGUCAGACCUGCGCGCGCGUCUUGUCAUGCGCAGGUAGGCAGGUGUUGCACACUGUGCACACGCCAUCCACGCAAUAGGCCUGCGCAGAGAGGUCUGUGCGCCUGGGGCCUACAGGUGGCGCCCCAGCACCCAAGCCAACUCCUGCACACGGCAGGGUAGCCCAACACCUGCAGGCUAGGCCUGCAGCACGUGCCAAGCAGGUGAGGCCACUUCUGCCUCGGGCAGCGUGCCGCUGCCCAUGUCGCCGCUUAAGGUGCAACCGUCGGUGGAGGUCUUUUUCCUCCGUUUUUCGUGCCGCGUCAAAUCAAGCAUCUUCCAUUUUCAACACUCUCUUUCUUCACCGGAUUUUGCUACUUGACGCAAAUCCAACAGCUCCCGUUUUCUAUAAAUAAGGGCCCUUCCUCCCAUUUUCUCCUCACUUUCAUUCUUCCACCUUUCAAAAGUUAAAGAGAGAAAGAGAGAGAAAGAGAGUGAUCGAGAGAGAGAAUGAGAGGAGAAGAAGAAAAACGGUGUAGGAGAAAUUAUCAAGAUUUCGGUAAG